rnacentral:rRNA from 1 species
AUACGGAGGGUGCAAGCGUUGUUCGGAAUUACUGGGCGUAAAGCGCACGUAGGCGGCCGCGUAUGUCGAGCGUGAAAGCCCCGGGCUCAACCCGGGAAGUGCGUUCGAAACUGCGUGGCUUGAGUGUGGGAGAGGAAGGUGGAAUUCCCGGUGUAGAGGUGAAAUUCGUAGAUAUCGGGAGGAACACCCGUGGCGAAAGCGACCUUCUGGACCAACACUGACGCUGAGGUGCGAAAGCGUGGGGAGCAAACAGGAUUAGAAACCCCGGUAGUCC